GAGUCUAUAAAGAAUGUUUCUAGAAAUAUGUGCAAUCAAUGCCACAAAUAAUCCAAAUUCUUCUGGGGGCAAAUAGGAUAUUACAAAUGAGUACCGAAGAGAUCAGUGAGUGCAUAAUUAAAAUUUCAAGCUUCCACGACAGGUUAAUGAGUGGCUACAGGCAGUAUGUUCCAACUCUGAUUAUAACUAAAGGGAAGGACUUAGUCACUAAAAGGAACUGCAGC